rfam:Camelus ferus unplaced genomic scaffold scaffold465, whole genome shotgun sequence.
GAGGGUAUAGUUCAGUGGCAGAGUGCGUGACUAGCAAUGCAUGAAGUCCUGGGUUCAAUCCCCAGUACCUCCA